AGUGUCGAAGGUACUGAAUCGCUUACCCGGCUGGACUCUGGGCUGCUCUGCGGUCUUGGUCACAUUCUGAGUCACCACCGGUGAGCCUGUGGACGAAGACGGAGAAACCGAAAGAUUGUGUGAGGAAGAGAUGGAUUGCCAUGGAGACGCCAGCAGAUAUGGGAACGACUGUGAGGCGCUCGAUGUGUUAGAGUGAUGACGGAGGUUGCGGCUGGGAUCGACACGCUGCUUUCGAGGUCAAGGCAAUCCCUUUUCCCAUCGGCAGAAGCGGAAACAUUUGGAGACAUCAGUGGAUUCUUCGUCCUCCUGCAGUAGCUGUCAAAAAAGGUAGCUGUGAUCUUGGCUCCUCGGCUUCUCUCUAAGACACUGCAGCCAUCAGACCUCGAGGUAUGUCUUUACAAUCUCACUAAAACACUAUUAAAACAAUAAGCAGAUAAGGGAUCUUCCAGAAUUAUCCUAGUAAAUGUGUCUUACUA